rnacentral:rRNA from 1 species
CCUACGGGGGGCAGCAGUGGGGAAUUGUUCGCAAUGGGCGCAAGCCUGACGACGCAACGCCGCGUGGAGGAUGAAGACUUUCGGGUCGUAAACUCCUUUCGACCGAGAUGAAUACUCUCUUACCUAAUACGUUUGAGAGCUGACAGUAUCGAGGGAAGAAGCCCCGGCUAACUCCGUGCCAGCAGCCGCGGUAAUACGGGGGGGGCAAGCGUUGUUCGGAAUUACUGGGCGUAAAGGGUUCGUAGGUGGCUUGCUAAGUCAGACGUGAAAUCCCUCAGCUUAACUGGGGAACUGCGUCUGAAACUGGCGAGCUUGAGUGCAGGAGAGGAACGCGGAAUUCCAGGUGUAGCGGUGAAAUGCGUAGAUAUCUGGAGGAACACCGGUGGCGAAGGCGGCGUUCUGGACUGUAACUGACACUGAGGAACGAAAGCCAGGGGAGCAAACGGGAUUAGAUACCCCGGUAGUC